UACGUAGGGUGCAAGCGUUGUCCGGAAUUAUUGGGCGUAAAGAGCUCGUAGGCGGCGUGUCACGUCGGUUGUGAAAGCCCGGGGCUUAACUCCGGGUCUGCAGUCGAUACGGGCAGGCUAGAGUUCGGUAGGGGAGAUCGGAAUUCCUGGUGGAGCGGUGAAAUGCGCAGACAUCAGGAGGAACACCGGUGGCGAAAGCGGCUGCCUGGCCGAGUACUGACGCUGAGGCACGAAAGCGUGGGGAGCGAACGGG
rnacentral:rRNA from 1 species